UCGAGUCUAAACAACUCCCAAACCCAUGUGAACUUACCACUUUGUUGCCUCGGCGGGGCAACUUACCCGGAAGCUGCUUCGGCAGACAAUGGGUGAGCCCGCCGGCGGACCACUAAACUCUUGUUUAUUUUUGAUAAUCUGAAUUUUAAAACUUAAUAAGUUA
rnacentral:misc_RNA from 1 species